AUUCUGCUUUAACAUACACCAUGAUCUCUACAUCACUACUGCUGCUGCUGCUGGCAGCCGUACACUGUGGUCACUGUGUUGAGCUGAUCCAGACCAGAUCCACAGUAUUAACCCCUGGUCAGUCACUGACUCUGACCUGUAAAGUGUCUGGAUAUUCAGUAACUGAUAGCAGCUACUGUACAGACUGGAUACGACAACCUGCAGGAAAAACUCUGGAGUGGAUUGGAGAGAUAUGUGGUGAUGGUAGCACUUACUACAGUGAGAAACUGAAAAGCAGGUUUCAGGUUACCAGAGACACGUCCAGCAGCACAGUAACAUUAACAGGACAGAACAUGCAGACUGAAGACACAGCUGUGUAUUACUGCGCUCGUGAACCACACAGUGAUACACAUCAACAACAAAGCUCCAGCAGCCAGCAGAGGGCGACAGCAGCAUACAGUGAGAGUGUCGAUUACCCAUAA